rnacentral:rRNA from 1 species
AACGCGAAGAACCUUACCUGGUCUUGACAUCCUAGGAACCCUUCAGAGAUGAGGGGGUGCCUUCGGGAACCUGGAGACAGGUGCUGCAUGGCUGUCGUCAGCUCGUGUCGUGAGAUGUUGGGUUAAGUCCCGCAACGAGCGCAACCCUUGUCUCAUGUUGCCAGCGCGUUAUGGCGGGGACUCGUGAGAGACUGCCGGGGUCAACUCGGAGGAAGGUGGGGAUGACGUCAAGUCAUCAUGCCCCUUAUGUCCAGGGCUUCACACAUGCUACAAUGGCCGGUACAAAGGGCUGCGAUGCCGUGAGGCUUAGCGAAUCCUUUAAAGCCGGUCUCAGUUCGGAUCGGGGUCUGCAACUCGACCCCGUGAAGUCGGAGUCGCUAGUAAUCGCAGAUCAGCAACGCUGCGGUGAAUACGUUCCCGGGCCUUGUACACACCGCGCAUA